GGGUUGUGAGGUUAAGCGACUAAGCGUACACGGUGGAUGCCCUGGCAGUCAGAGGCGAUGAAGGGCGUGCUAAUCUGCGAUAAGCGCCGGUAAGGUGAUAUGAACCGUUAUAACCGGCGAUACCCGAAUGGGGAAACCCAGUGUGAUUCGUCACACUAUCAUUAACUGAAUCCAUAGGUUAAUGAGGCGAACCGGGGGAACUGAAACAUCUAAGUACCCCGAGGAAAAGAAAUCAACCGAGAUUCCCCCAGUAGCGGCGAGCGAACGGGGAGGAGCCCAGAGCCUGAAUCAGCAUGUGUGUUAGUGGAAGCGUCUGGAAAGUCGCGCGAUACAGGGUGACAGCCCCGUACACAAAAGCGCAUGUGUUGUGAGCUCGAUGAGUAGGGCGGGACACGUGGUAUCCUGUCUGAAUAUGGGGGGACCAUCCUCCAAGGCUAAAUACUCCUGACUGACCGAUAGUGAACCAGUACCGUGAGGGAAAGGCGAAAAGAACCCCGGCGAGGGGAGUGAAAAAGAACCUGAAACCGUGUACGUACAAGCAGUGGGAGCACAGGUUUACCUGUGUGACUGCGUACCUUUUGUAUAAUGGGUCAGCGACUUAUAUUCUGUAGCAAGGUUAACCGUAUAGGGGAGCCGGAGGGAAACCGAGUCUUAACCGGGCGUUAAGUUGCAGGGUAUAGACCCGAAACCCGGUGAUCUAGCCAUGGGCAGGUUGAAGGUUGGGUAACACUAACUGGAGGACCGAACCGACUAAUGUUGAAAAAUUAGCGGAUGACCUGUGGCUGGGGGUGAAAGGCCAAUCAAACCGGGAGAUAGCUGGUUCUCCCCGAAAGCUAUUUAGGUAGCGCCUCGUGAAUUCAUCUCCGGGGGUAG
rnacentral:rRNA from 1 species